GCCCAACACAGCUCAGCUGGCAGAGCAUGGGACUCUUAAACUCAGGGUUAUGGGUUCGAAUUCCACAUUGGGCA